rnacentral:rRNA from 1 species
AGAGUUUGAUCAUGGCUCAGAUUGAACGCUGGCGGCAGGCCUAACACAUGCAAGUCGAGCGGAAGAAGGGGGCUUGCUCCCGGAUUCAGCGGCGGACGGGUGAGUAACGCGUAGGAAUCUACCUAAUAGUGGGGGAUAACGUUUCGAAAGGAACGCUAAUACCGCAUACGUUCUGAGGAAGAAAGCAGGGGAUCGCAAGACCUUGCGCUAUUAGAUGAGCCUGCGUCCGAUUAGCUAGUUGGUGGGGUAAAGGCCUACCAAGGCGACGAUCGGUAACUGGUCUGAGAGGAUGAUCAGUCACACUGGAACUGAGACACGGUCCAGACUCCUACGGGAGGCAGCAGUGGGGAAUAUUGGACAAUGGGGGCAACCCUGAUCCAGCCAUGCCGCGUGUGUGAAGAAGGCCUUCGGGUUGUAAAGCACUUUAAGCGGGGAGGAAGGCUCUAUGGCUAAUAUCCAUGGGGAUUGACGUUACCCGCAGAAUAAGCACCGGCAAACUUCGUGCCAGCAGCCGCGGUAAUACGAAGGGUGCGAGCGUUAAUCGGAAUUACUGGGCGUAAAGCGCGCGUAGGUGGUUUGAUAAGCGAUAUGUGAAAUCCCCGGGCUUAACCUGGGAACUGCAUGUCGAACUGCCAGGCUAGAGUAUGGUAGAGGGGUGUGGAAUUUCCUGUGUAGCGGUGAAAUGCGUAGAUAUAGGAAGGAACAUCAGUGGCGAAGGCGACACCCUGGACCGAUACUGACACUGAGGCGCGAAAGCGUGGGUAGCGAACAGGAUUAGAUACCCUGGUAGUCCACGCCGUAAACGAUGUCAACUAGCCGUUGGGGGGCUUGUCCCUUCAGUGGCGGAGCUAACGCGAUAAGUUGACCGCCUGGGGAGUACGGCCGCAAGGUUAAAACUCAAAUGAAUUGACGGGGGCCCGCACAAGCGGUGGAGUAUGUGGUUUAAUUCGACGCAACGCGCAAAACCUUACCUGGGUUAAAUCCACUUGAACCCGCCAGAGAUGGUGGGGUGCCUUCGGGAGCAAGUGAGAAGGUGCUGCAUGGCUGUCGUCAGCUCGUGUCGUGAGAUGUUGGGUUAAGUCCC